CUUUUUUACAAUUGCCCUUAGCAACUUGUUGAACACAUCAGCACCUGUUGCUAUUGUUCAAGCUCAUUGAGUUUAUUACUUAAGUCAAUGGAAAAAGUAGAUAAAUGAAAUUGGUCGAUACAUCGCACAAUUGCUAGUGUACCCGCACACAAAAUUCCCAAUCGAGCGCGAUCAACAACUGCGUGAUUGCGUUGAUCCUCGCCAGAUGUCUCAGCGAUGCACAUAAUCUAGCUGAGACUCCGAAACAGACAAGCAGCCUCGAUCUGUGAUCAUCGUCAUCGUCAUCAUCAUCAUCAUCAGUUUUGCAGCAGCAUCAUUAGUGCAGUACAGUGCUGAAUACACACAAAUAACGAGCAAUAAUAAUCUCUUCCUCUCCCCGUUGAACACAUACAUUUCCCACUCUUUCUUUCUAACAGAUACAUUGUAACAUUUGUUCUCGCCGUACGUGCGCUCUGGCUUAUGUGAACUGCUGCUCUGCUCAUCGACACCGAAAAAAAACCCGUCCAUAUCAACGUCGUCGUAGUUAUUUCACGUAGAAACGUCAUCAGACUUCUUCGUUUUAUUCUGCUAUCUGUGGGGCAAACAAGUGGAAUUUUUAUGUUAGCUUCGUUAACCGUAUGACAAUUCUGUUAAAAGAAGAGGAUUAAUUGUAUCAUUUGGUGCUGGGCCAAGCUGUGCGAUUGGGCAAUCUCGAUAGGCAGCAGCAGCGGCGCAAAGACGCAUCAGCGGUUGUUGCAUCGACUCGAGAAGCCAAGGAGCCCUAGGAAUUCGACGUGACAACAGCGCGUAGUCGAGCUGUGCGCGGUAGAUAAGAGCUCCGCGCUAUACAUGGUCUUUUCCUCUUCGGCUCCGAUACACACAGCGGAACAUUCGGCUGAUUACGACUCGAGGCGUUUCAUUUCUCUCUCGCUUACUUUUCUUCCAUAGCGAGAUCUCGUGUGCGUGUUUUCGUCGCGCUGUGAUCGGGGUUAGGUGCCGCUGCCGCAGCCGCUGCUGCAGGAGCUUCGAAGCAAAGAUCGGCGUGCGUUGCGGCCUCGGCAUUGUCGUCAUUGCUCUCUUUCUCUCUCUCUCUCUCUCUACGAAACGAGAAGCGAGAAGCGAGUCAAGUGAUUUCAAUUGAAAGCGACUCUGGUCGGAGCUCGUAGCACUGAUUGGUCAGGUCUGCGCGCAUUUGUGCGUUUGUGCGAGGCCCAAGAAGCUCGCUCGGCUCGGACUUGCAGCUAAUAAAGCCUCGCGCGCGCUCCCUUCCCCGCACUUUUGAUUGCUCGCGAUCCCGCGCGCUCGCCUUGUCAUCUUGGCCAGACACAGCAGCAUCAGUGCUGCCCACGUCGCCGCGAUCGGAGUUACAGAUCCCCGAGCAGAUAGAUACAUACAUAUAUUUUAUAUAUUCAAUAUAUAGCAAGCUCCCGUCGCUCUUGAACUUGAUCAGGAGACGAGCCGAUAGAUUAGGUUUUCCUCUCUCUCUCCCUCGCUUCAUUGGUCGUUUAGUCAUUUUCGUAAAAUCGUCACUCGAGUUUUUCUCGCUCGCUCGCUCGCUCCUCCAACUCGGCGCGACUCGCCUGUUUCUCUAUCUAUCUAAUCUCUAUCGGGUUUCUCUUUCUCGUAUACAGACGUAUAUGCUCGUUAUAUAUACGUACAUUACAUUACGUACUCUAUCUCUCUCUAUCUCUCGCUCUCUGUUUUAAGCGAGCGCGUAGUAUAGUAAAACGUCCACGAGCGCCAACAGUCAGACUUAAGACACAGGAGAGCAGCUAUAUACUUACUUUGUACACGUGCAAACGAUCCGUUGCCGCCGCUUCUUCUCGUUCGGCAGUGGCCUACUCUCAACAGUACUGUCGUAGCGUCGCUAGUGGCCUUUUUUCCGGGGCUCUCUCUCUCUGCUCGUGCACCGCUGAUCAUCGCAGAUCAGCUUAUACGUUAACCGAGGCCCGCCGUUCGAGCUGAGCUUGCCUCGCUCCUAUCAUUUGAAUGGCCCAUCUCUACUGGUUGCUGCUUUUCGAAAGACGUUGACUUUCCACGUGUUGUUCGUUGCGAUUCCGAGCAACUCCCCGAUCGGUGGCCGCCUAUUCUCAGUGCAAAAGUUGUGUGGUGGUGGUGGUGGUGGUGGUGUUGUGGGGCUAGUCAGUGUCGUUUCCUUGCGAAUCCUCGGUGCGCUCCGAGCUCAUCCCGGUGGUCCCGGCAGUGCAUAUACGAGUGUGCGUGUGCCGUGUGCGUGUGCGCGCGCGCGCCUACUGCUCCGCCUUAACGCUUUCUCCGUUGCUCAUCGCGUUUUCCCACCCAUCUGCUUACCAUGAAACGCAGGAUCGUUAAAAUGUGGUGACGGGGAGUUCUGGGCUGAUGCCUGAAAACUGCAAGACACUAAUCAGUGUGUGAGCCGUGUAGUCCUUAGCUGAGCAUAUAUUAGUUCUCUCUCGAGAAGCGGGAGCUCGAUCUCCCUCUCGGAUUUCAUCGAGGUGUCUUCAGAUCCCUCGUGAGUCCACCGCACAGCUGCCAUUCGCACGUGGCAGCGUCGCCACUUUACUACUCUCUCGCUCUCGCCUCUCUACGGCCUCUCUCGCUCCGGUAAUCUCUCUCUCUCUCUCUCUGUCUCGAAUUCGAUCGAGCUUCAGCGCCUGCGUCAAUUUCGACUGAGAUCGACGAGGGAGAUUGUUUGGAAUCGGUGUCAACGAACUGGGAAAAGGCUCGUUCAUUGGGACCAGUUGGCGGUCUCGAUCGAAUUCUACCUCUGCCAGUCGGGAAAGCAUCCACCGGCCCUAUCCACGGGGGCACGAAUCUUGUACAGUCUGCCCAGCGGGGCUUGCCGAUCAUCAUCGCGACCAUCAUCGCUGCUCACUUUCAAGGGGAAAAAAUGCGCUGCAGUCAGGGCGUUGCAAUGGUGUUCGAGGACGCCUUCGUCGUCUUUUCCCGAUUUUUGGCGCUGAAAUCGCGUGGUUGCGCUCUCCUCGAAACACACCGACAACGUGAGACGA